rnacentral:rRNA from 1 species
AGUGAACGCUGGCGGUAGGCCUAACACAUGCAAGUCGGACGGCAGCACAGGAGAGCUUGCUCUCUGGGUGGCGAGUGGCGGACGGGUGAGGAAUACAUCGGAAUCUACUCUGUCGUGGGGGAUAACGUAGGGAAACUUACGCUAAUACCGCAUACGACCUACGGGUGAAAGCAGGGGACCUUCGGGCCUUGCGCGAUUGAAUGAGCCGAUGUCGGAUUAGCUAGUUGGCGGGGGAAAGGCCCACCAAGGCGACGAUCCGUAGCUGGUCUGAGAGGAUGAUCAGCCACACUGGAACUGAGACACGGGCCAGACUCCUACGGGAGGCAGCAGUGGGGAAUAUUGGACAAUGGGCGCAAGCCUGAUCCAGCCAUACCGCGUGGGUGAAGAAGGCCUUCGGGUUGUAAAGCCCUUUUGUUGGGAAGGAAAUCCAGCUGGCUAAUACCCGGUUGGGAUGACGGUACCCAAAGAAUAAGCACCGGCUAACUUCGUGCCAGCAGCCGCUGUAA